AACCAGGCCGUUGGUCAAACCUGUCCUCCCUGUUCUCAGACCACAUGUGAGAAGCCUAAGGGGUGCGGAAGACGAAACUUCGUGAAAGAUGCAUGUGGAUGCUGCGAUGUUUGUGGAACUAGAUUCGGACACCCUUGCUCUGGAAUGACACCAAAGUGUGUGAGGAACCUGUGGUGCAUAAGGAUACAGGGUGAUACUGCCGAGGCCAGGAGAAGUAUAGUCUUGCCCGAUACCUUCCAGGGUGUUUGUGGAAGAAUAAGAGUUUGAUCUGUAUAACUGAGUUGGAUCCAGAUCUUAGACCACAUUUCAGCUCACCACCUGAACACCCCACUUCUGUAUUAUAAUGCAAUGAAAAUAAAAUAUUGGUGAGUUCA